rnacentral:rRNA from 1 species
CCUACGGGGCGCAGCAGUGAGGAAUAUUGGUCAAUGGACGAGAGUCUGAACCAGCCAAGUAGCGUGAAGGAUGACUGCCCUAUGGGUUGUAAACUUCUUUUAUAAAGGAAUAAAACGAGGCACGUGUGCCUUUUUGCAUGUACUUUAUGAAUAAGGAUCGGCUAACUCCGUGCCAGCAGCCGCGGUAAUACGGAGGAUCCGAGCGUUAUCCGGAUUUAUUGGGUUUAAAGGGAGCGUAGAUGGGUUGUUAAGUCAGUUGUGAACGUUUGCGGCUCAACCGUAAAAUUGCAAUUGAUACUGGCAGUCUUGAGUACAGUUGAGGUAGGCGGAAUUCGUGGUGUAGCGGUGAAAUGCUUAGAUAUCACGAAGAACUCCGAUUGCGAAGGCAGUUCACUGGACUGCAACUGACACUGAGGCUCGAAAGUGUGGGUAUCAAACAGGAUUAGAUACCCCUGUAGUC